rnacentral:rRNA from 1 species
ACAUAUAAGAGGUCCAGCCUGCCCAGUGACCUAGUUCAACGGCCGCGGUAUCCUAACCGUGCGAAGGUAGCGUAAUCACUUGUUCUUUAAAUGAGGACUAGUAUGAAUGGCACCACGAGGGUUAAACUGUCUCCUUUUUUUAAUCAGUGAAACUAAUCUCCCCGUGAAGAAGCGGGGAUUCUUUUAUAAGACGAGAAGACCCUAUGGAGCUUUAAACAAGUUAACACCUGCUGCUAAUCUUCACUUUCCUGAACCACCACAUUAAAUAUAGCACCUCUGAUUAACAGUUUUCGAUUGGGGUGAUCAUGGAGCAAAAAUCAACCUCCACGACGAAAAGGAACACCUCCUUGAGCCAAAAGCUACAACUUUAAGCACUAAAAAACUAACGCACUUUGACCCAAUUCUUUGAGCAACGAACCAAGUUACCCUAGGGAUAACAGCGCAAUCCACUUUAAGAGCUCCUAUCGACAAGUGGGUUUACGACCUCGAUGUUGGAUCAGGGUAUCCCAGUGGUGCAGCCGCUACUAAAGGUUCGUUUGUUCAACGAUUAAAACCCU